rnacentral:rRNA from 2 species
UACAGAGGGUGCAAGCGUUAAUCGGAAUGACUGGGCGUAAAGCGUGUGUAGGUGGUUAGAUAAGUUAGAUGUGAAAUCCCCGGGCUUAACCUGGGAACUGCGUUUAAGACUGUCUAGCUAGAGUACUGUAGAGGAUAGUGGAAUUUCCAGUGUAGCGGUGAAAUGCGUAGAUAUUGGAAGGAACACCAGUGGCGAAGGCGACUAUCUGGAUAGAUACUGACACUGAGACACGAAAGCGUGGGGAGCAAACAGG